rnacentral:rRNA from 1 species
UACGAAGGGAGCUAGCGUUGUUCGGAAUCACUGGGCGUAAAGCGCACGUAGGCGGAUGUGUCAGUCAGGGGUGAAAUCCCGGAGCUCAACUUCGGAACUGCCUUUGAUACAGCACGUCUUGAGUCCGGAAGAGGUGGGUGGAAUUCCUAGUGUAGAGGUGAAAUUCGUAGAUAUUAGGAAGAACACCGGUGGCGAAGGCGGCCCACUGGUCCGGUACUGACGGCUGAGGUGCGAAAGCGUGGGGAGCAAACAGG